rnacentral:rRNA from 1 species
GACGAACGCUGGCGGCGUGCUUAACACAUGCAAGUCGAACGGAAAGGCCCUGCUUUUGUGGGGUGCUCGAGUGGCGAACGGGUGAGUAACACGUGAGUAACCUGCCCUUGACUUUGGGAUAACUUCAGGAAACUGGGGCUAAUACCGGAUAGGAGCUCCUGCUGCAUGGUGGGGGUUGGAAAGUUUCGGCGGUUGGGUAUGGACUCGCGGCUUAUCAGCUUGUUGGUGGGGUAGUGGCUUACCAAGGCUUUGACGGGUAGCCGGCCUGAGAGGGUGACCGGCCACAUUGGGACUGAGAUACGGCCCAGACUCCUACGGGAGGCAGCAGUGGGGAAUAUUGCACAAUGGGCGGUAGCCUGAUGCAGCAACGCCGCGUGCGGGAUGACGGCCUUCGGGUUGUAAACCGCUUUCGCCUGUGACGAAGCGUGAGUGACGGUAAUGGGUAAAGAAGCACCGGCUAACUACGUG